CGAUCUCAAGCUGAUGACGCUGCUGUGAGAGGUUUGGCACGACAUGCAGCGUCACCGUCUCAGUCUGGCGCAGGGAAAAUAAUUUUAAUGCUGAA